rnacentral:rRNA from 1 species
AUUGAACGCUGGCGGCAGGCCUAACACAUGCAAGUCGAGCGGUAGAGAGGUGCUUGCAUCUCUUGAGAGCGGCGGACGGGUGAGUAAUGCCUAGGAAUCUGCCUAGUGGUGGGGGAUAACGUUCGGAAACGGACGCUAAUACCGCAUACGUCCUACGGGAGAAAGCGGGGGAUCUUCGGACCUCGCGCCAUUAGAUGAGCCUAGGUCGGAUUAGCUAGUUGGUGAGGUAAUGGCUCACCAAGGCGACGAUCCGUAACUGGUCUGAGAGGAUGAUCAGUCACACUGGAACUGAGACACGGUCCAGACUCCUACGGGAGGCAGCAGUGGGGAAUAUUGGACAAUGGGCGAAAGCCUGAUCAGCCAUGCCGCGUGUGUGAAGAAGGUCUUCGGAUUGUAAAGCACUUUAAGUUGGGAGGAAGGGUAGUAACCUAAUACGUUGCUACUUUGACGUUACCGACAGAUAAGCACCGGCUAACUUCGUGCCAGCAGCC